ACUGAGUGGCGGUGUGAUCA
rnacentral:misc_RNA from 1 species